AGUUUUUCAUUGGUCACCGUCUGAGGUAGUACGAGUACGAGUAUGAAUCAUAGUCAUAAACGUCAUAGUGCAGUGUAUUCGGAUUUUGCGAUUGAUCAGGUACUUCAGUUAAAAAAGUGCAUACUUAAGAUUAUACUGCAGGGUCAAAAUUGCAAUCAGGAAUAAUGUAUUUUUCAAAUCAACUACAUAGUCCUUACUUUAAUCGCUUGAACACAUAUUUGAGGUCCAACUCCAAACAACUUACUUUUGUAUAUAAAUAAUAAUUAUACAUUACCUAACUAA